UUGAAGACAAAAAAACAAUGGUUUUGCAAUGAUGGAAAACAUGAAAGGGUUAAAGACGUAAAUAACCCAUCAAUGUUUAAAACCCAUUUUAAAACCUAAUUAAAACCCCAUUUCAUUUUUAGCAACAGCAGCCACAAGGGCUGCUUCAUCUUCUCCUUUGCUCCUCACACCGAAAUCAAGCAACAAUGUCAACGGCGCACCUCUUCUGGAAGAACGUGCUGGAGUUGCUGCGACGUGAGACGGUAACCACGACGUGGGGUGUGCAGCCGCGGCGCUGAGGCAUGAAAGUUGCCUAGGGUUUCUUUUGUUGAAAAUUGUUAGGGCUGGGUAUUGGGCAAAUGUUGAACUAUUGUGUUUUGGGCCAUUUUUUGGGUUUAAAAGUAUUUGGGAUGAGUGUUGUAUUUGGGUUUGUAUUAAGUUUGGGCCCCGGGCACCAAUUGGGUAUUACAUACAUAUAUAUAUAUAUAUUUCAAAAGAUAAAUAAAGUAGAUAAUAUAUAUUUAAGUGAUA